UACAGAGGUCUCAAGCGUUGUUCGGAUUUAUUGGGCGUAAAGGGCGCGUAGGCGGCGGGGUAAGUCGGGUGUGAAAUCUCGGGGCUUAACUCCGAAACUGCAUUCGAUACUGCCGUGCUUGAGGACUGGAGAGGAGACUGGAAUUUACGGUGUAGCGGUGAAAUGCGUAGAUAUCGUAAGGAAGACCAGUGGCGAAGGCGGGUCUCUGGACAGUUCCUGACGCUGAGGCACGAAGGCCAGGGGAGCAAACGGG
rnacentral:rRNA from 1 species